rnacentral:rRNA from 1 species
UCGAGAAUUUUUCACAAUGGGGGAAACCCUGAUGGAGCGACGCCGCGUGGAGGAUGAAGGCCUUCGGGUCGUAAACUCCUGUCAUGCGGGAACAAGAAAGUGAUAGUACCGCAAGAGGAAGAGACGGCUAACUCUGUGCCAGCAGCCGCGGUAAUACAGAGGUCUCAAGCGUUGUUCGGAUUCAUUGGGCGUAAAGGGUGCGUAGGUGGUGACGUAAGUCUAAUGUGAAAUCUCGGGGCUUAACCCCGAAAUUGCAUCGGAUACUGCGUGACUAGAGGACUGUAGAGGAGAUUGGAAUUCACGGUGUAGCAGUGAAAUGCGUAGAUAUCGUGAGGAAGACCAGUUGCGAAGGCGAAUCUCUGGGCAGUUCCUGACACUGAGGCACGAAGGCCAGGGGAGCAAACG